rnacentral:lncRNA from 1 species
AUAACUUGCUUGAACCUGAUCAAGUUCAGUCAUCUUAAGGCAAUGAGAAAAGGCAGAAGUUGAACUGGGAAGACUGGGAGUGUAGACCUUGGUAUUAAAAGCACAUUUGGAACCUUGCUAGCCAACAUAAAAUGUUCUCGUGGGCAAGGAACCAUUUGUGCAAAGGCCUUAGGAAAUUCAAAUCUGCUGUUCCAGGUGAAUCCCUAAGGAUGAUGCCCGUCUUCAAAGAAUGACUGACUGACGGGACUUUACUUAAUGGAAGCACAGCAAGGUUAGGUCAAGGAAUAGAAAUCUGACUUUGAGACUUCCAGGAGCUGACAAAGACAUUUCUAUGACUCCUGCGACAAGACAACAAUGAACAAAGAGAUGGAAGUACAGGGAGCAUGUAUG